CCGAAAUCUGCGCCGUGAUAGUCGUGGGUAACCGUUAUUGUGUCUUCCGAGGUCUCGGAGCUAGUUUCGGGAUCGGGGAAGUAAUGUCUUAUCAAGCCCGGUGGUGACCACUCCGUUCGUACCUUAGUACGAGGCGUUCCGGCUUUGAUUCCGACCCCGUAUAAUCGUGCCUUUGCUUUUUUUGACUCCGUAUAUAUUACCCUCGGUUAUACCCGUAUACAAACUAGGCUUAACUCUGUUAUAUCUCCUUAAAUAUUACUAACUCAUAUUUUGUGUAGCUUUGAAAAGAAAAAAAAAUCUCUUUAAUUAUAUGUGUUCUAAAAGAGAAUAUGCAUAUAUAUACAAUAAUCAAACACCAACCAAAAAUCCUGUAAUGUUAAAAUGUACUAUUUAUUUAGGACAAAAUGUAAAGUCUCAAAAACUUCAUAUUAUAAUUUUAAAUGACCAAAUUUACUACAAGCUGAAUUGUUAUAAUAGUGUUAAAGAAGGAGUGGGUAUUUGAGAAGGAGGCAGGUGGCUACAUGGGCUAUUUGGUGUGUUUAACAUAUAGUUAGUUAGUAGAGAUUGUUGCCUAACUAGUUAGCUAAUUGCGUAUAUAAAGCAGCUGCAUAGAGUGGAAGUAAUUCAGUUUUCUCAUUUUCUCCAUUUCUCUUUGUUGGUUUUUAACUUUGCUCUCAAAUAAGGUUCUAUGUUUGCUCUCAAUUCAACAAUUUGACAUGGUAUCAGAACCUUUGGGCUAGAGAUUCUAGAUCCACUCAAAGGCGGUUUCUUCUCGAUCUCUUUUGUGUAUGGGGUUUCGUCUUUCUUCAUUUUGUUUCGUUAAUUGCUCACGGUGGGUAACAAUGUCAGACGUAGUUGAAGACGAUGAAUUCGAGGUUAAACUCGGUCACAAUCAUCCACUUUAUUUCUAUGCUUCUGAUACAUGUGGAUCUUUUCCUAUCUCUGUUCAAUUGACUGGAACCGGGAAUUAUUCUCUUUAGAGUCGCUCGAUGAAGAUCGCACUCAUGGGAUGCAACAAGCUAGGUUUUUUGGAUAGUACUCAGUGAAGGAGAAACUCAAAAAGGAUUAUGGUACUAGUGAGAGUGUUGCAAUUCACAUGGCUCCAACUAAGUUAAAAGAGUUGAAGGAGCAGUUACAGGAGUUUUGGAUAAGGCAUUCAUCAGGACAAGUAUUUCUCCUUGGGGUGUGCCGAUGUUAUUUGUGAAGAAGAAAGGUAGUUCUAUGAGGGUGGAUAUUAAUCACAGGUAGGGUCACUAUCAAGAACAAGUAUUUAUAGCCUCCUAUUGAUGAUUUGUUAGAUCAGAUUCAGGGUACCAGGGUAUUCUCGAAGAUUGACUUGAGAUCGGGCUAUCACCAAUUGAAGAUUAGGGCUUAUUGGUCGUGCGUGAUUGAUGAAUUUUGUGUCUAAGGAGCUAAUUACUGGAGUGUCUAUAGAUACGGUGCUCAGGCGGUCUGGGUAGAUCUUCAUAAAUGCUUUGACAAAGUUAAUGCCUCCAAGUCUUUAUACUUGCACAAAGAGAUAUCCACUCCUACUCAAGGGAUAUUACUUUCAAAGAAAAUAUUUUUCCCUUCAAGAAGUGAACUAUUGUCAGUUCGGGUCUUGCUGAACACACUCAAUUCUGAGGUGUAGUGCCUGAUGAAGAAGACUCUUGGUCUGAAACAGGACUAUCCUUACAGUCUGUUGAUGAUGCAAAAAGCACUAGUGAUUCUCAUGUGGAUCUUGAUAUCAACCUAGUAACUGAUGUUGAUGAGAGUGUUAUAGCUAAUGCUGAUGUGCCAAAAGCUAAUGCUGAUGAGCCAGAACUUCCUCGCUCUAAUCAACUUUUUGCUCAUCAAAAUGAUCUCAUGCCUCAAAAUUAUGUGCUUCCUUCUGAGGUUCCUCCUUUUGGGGUUCCUCUGAGGAGAAAUUCCAAGAAUAUAAAUCCUCUUUUACUGAUGAAGGACUUUGUAACCUUGCUAGUUUAUCAAGAUGUUCCGUA